rnacentral:rRNA from 1 species
CCUACGGGUGGCAGCAGUCGAGAAUCAUUCACAAUGGGGGAAACCCUGAUGGUGCGACGCCGCGUGGGGGAAUGAAGGUCUUCGGAUUGUAAACCCCUGUCAUGUGGGAGCAAAUUAAAAAGAUAGUACCACAAGAGGAAGAGACGGCUAACUCUGUGCCAGCAGCCGCGGUAAUACAGAGGUCUCAAGCGUUGUUCGGAAUCACUGGGCGUAAAGCGUGCGUAGGCGGUUUCGUAAGUCGUGUGUGAAAGGCGCGGGCUCAACCCGCGGACGGCACAUGAUACUGCGAGACUCGAGUAAGGGAGGGGGAACCGGAAUUCUCGGUGUAGCAGUGAAAUGCGUAGAUAUCGAGAGGAACACUAGUGGCGAAGGCGAGUUCCUGGACAUUAACUGACGCUGAGGCACGAAGGCCAGGGGAGCGAAAGGGAUUAGAUACCCUGGUAGUC